rnacentral:rRNA from 1 species
GAUGAACGCUGGCGGCGUGCCUAAUACAUGCAAGUCGAGCGAACGGACGAGAAGCUUGCUUCUCUGAUGUUAGCGGCGGACGGGUGAGUAACACGUGGAUAACCUACCUAUAGGACUGGGAUAACUUCGGGAGACCGGAGCUAAUACCGGAUAAUAUUUUGAACCGCAUGGUUCAAAAGUGAAAGACGGUCUUGCUGUCACUUAUAGAUGGAUCCGCGCUGCAUUAGCUAGUUGGUAAGGUAACGGCUUACCAAGGCAACGAUGCAUAGCCGACCUGAGAGGGUGAUCGGCCACACUGGAACUGAGACACGGUCCAGACUCCUACGGGAGGCAGCAGUAGGGAAUCUUCCGCAAUGGGCGAAAGCCUGACGGAGCAACGCCGCGUGAGUGAUGAAGGUCUUCGGAUCGUAAAACUCUGUUAUUAGGGAAGAACAUAUGUGUAAGUAACUGUGCACAUCUUGACGGUACCUAAUCAGAAAGCCACGGCUAACUACGUG